rnacentral:misc_RNA from 1 species
AAGUCGUAACAAGGUCUCCAUAGGUGAACCUGCGGCAUUCACAUGAUUAUAUCUUUGAAAACAAACUGUGAACUUUAAAAACUAUUCUACAUAACUGUUUUAGAUGAACAUUAGAUAGUUGUCUUAUUAUAUAUCUUUUAUAUAACUUUCUCACCUUUGAUCGUGAAUUCUAAACAAAUUAAUAAAAUCAAUCCAUAAACAUAGAAACAACUCUAUGCCCUGGAUAUCUUGGCUCUC